rnacentral:rRNA from 1 species
AUGGCAGAGUCACUGCUUCUCCCUCUAGUCCGCGACGUGGCUGGCAAGGCCGCAGACGCACUCGUCGAGACAGUGACCCGCAUGUAUGGCCUUGACGACGACCGCCAAACGCUCGAGCGGCAUCUACUAGCAGUCGAGUGCAAGCUGGCCAACGCUGAGGAGAUGAGCGAGAAAAAUCCCUAUGUCAAGAGCUGGAUGAAGGAGCUCAAGUCCGUCGCCUACCAGGCCGACGACGUGCUCGACGACUUCCAGUACGAGGCGCUGCACCGCCAAUCUAGGAUUGGCAAGUCCACUACUCGAAAGGCACUCAGCUACAUCACGCGCCACAGCCCGCUGCUCUUCCGUUUUGAAAUGAGCAGGAAACUCAAGAACGUCCUCAAGAAGAUCAAUAAGUUGGUUGAGGAGAUGAACAAAUUUGGCCUGGAGAAUUCUGUCCAUAGGGAGAAGCGGCAACAUCCUUGCCGGCAGACGCACUCAAAACUGGAUGACUGUACCAAAAUCUUUGGAAGAGAUGAUGAUAAGACGGUGGUGGUCAAGCAACUGCUGGACCAACAAGAUCAGCAGAAGGUGAAGGUAUUGCCCAUCUUUGGGAUGGGUGGUCUUGGCAAGACGACUCUUGCUAAGAUGGUGUAUAAUGACCAAGAGGUCCAGAAAAAUUUCCAGUUGAAGAUGUGGCACUGUGUGUCAGACAACUUUGAUGCCACUGCUCUUUUGAAAUCCAUCAUUGAGUUGGCUGUAAAUAAAAGAUGUGACAUUCCUGACACCAUUGAGUUGUUGCGAAAGCAACUUGAGGAAAUCAUUGGCCAGAAGAGAUUUUUACUUGUUCUCGAUGAUGUUUGGAAUGAAGAGAAGAGAAUGUGGGAGGAUGAACUGAAGCCACUAUUGUGUUCUGUUGGUGGACCAGGAAGUGUUAUAGUGGUCACAUGUCGAAGCAAACAAGUGGCCUCUAUAAUGUGCACUGUCAAGCCCCACGAGCUAGUAUUUCUGAGUGAAGAAGACUCAUGGGAAUUGUUUUCGAACAAAGCAUUUAGCAAUGGUGUAAAUGACCAACCAGAGUUGGUCGCCAUCGGAAGGCGUAUUGUCAAUAAAUGUGGGGGGUUGCCUCUUGCUCUCAAGACAAUGGGCGGAUUGCUGAGUUCAAAGCAAAAAGUACAGGAAUGGAAGGCCAUCGAAGAAAGUAACAUUGGGGAUAAUGAUGGAGGCAAAUAUGAAGUCAUGCCCAUACUGAAAUUAAGCUACAAACACCUAUCACCUGAAAUGAAGCAAUGUUUUGCAUUCUGUGCAGUUUUUUCCAAGGAUUAUGAGAUGGAGAAGGAUAGGUUGAUCCAACUAUGGAUGGCAAAUGGCUUUAUUCAUGAAGAGGGAACAAUGGAUUUAAUUCAGAAAGGAGAAUUCAUUUUCGAUGAGUUGGUUUGGAGGUCCUUCCUCCAAGAUAAGAAAGUGAUAGUCAAAUCUGCUGUCUAUUGGGGUGGCACAAAUUAUGAGACAAUUGUAUGUAAAAUGCAUGACUUAAUGCAUGAUCUAGCAAAAGAUGUCACAGAUGAAUGUGCAAGUGUAGAAGAAUUGUCUCAGCAAAAAGCAUUGUUAAAAGGUGUUUGUCACAUGCAAAUGUCAACGGCCGAAUUGCAACAAAUCAGUGGGUUAUGCAAAGGCAGAACAUACCUCCGCACGAUGUUAGCUCCUUCGGAAUCACGGGCGGAGCAUACUUAUAAUUUUCUGAGCAGAUCACACAAAGAUAUUAAGGAGUUGCAACAGGUAUUGGCAUCACUAAGAGCAUUGGAUUGCUCCCCUUCUCUAAUUGUCAUUUGCAAGGCCAUAAAUGCAAAACAUUUACGGUAUCUUGACCUCUCUUGGUCAGACAUCAUUAGUUUGCCAGAUUCAGUAUGUAUGUUGUAUAAUCUGCAAACACUGAGGCUCAUAGGUUGUCAAAAGUUGCAGCAGUUACCACAAAACAUGGCAAGAUUGAGAAAGCUCAUCCAUCUUUAUCUAUCUGGUUGUGAUCGUCUCAGAAGUAUGUCCCCAAAUUUUGGUGUACUGAACAACCUUCACAUAUUAACAACAUUUGUUGUGGGUACUGGAUAUGGUCUCGGGAUAGAGCAGCUCAAAGACUUGCAACACCUGAGCAAUAGGCUGGAACUGCUGAAUUUGAGCAAGAUAAGGAGUGGCAAGAAUGCAAAAGAAGCCAACCUCAAUCAGAAGCAAAAUCUAACUGAGUUGUUAUUCUCUUGGGACCAAAAAGUAGGUGAUGGGCCUAGAGAUAUGGCCUGCAAUGUGGAAGAAGUGUUGCAGUGUUUAGAACCUCACAGUAAUAUCCAAAAUUUGGAGAUACGUGGAUAUGGCGGCCUAGGAAUAUCACAAUGGAUGAGAAAGCCUCAGAUGUUUAACAGUUUGAAAGAACUCGAAAUGUCCGAUUGCCCAAGAUGCAAGAGUAUACCCGUCGUAUGGUUCUCGGUCACUCUGGAGAUUUUGUCCUUACAAAAGAUGGAUAACCUGACCACAUUAUGUAAUAACCUUGAUGUUGAAGCCAGAGGAUGCAUUACCCCUCUGCCAAUUUUCCCUGGGUUGAAGAGGAUGGAGUUGAUUGAUUUACCAAGCCUGGAGAUAUGGGCAGAAAAUAGUGUGGGAGAGGCUAGUGAUAGCUUGGUAACGUUCCCGAUGCUUGAAGAGCUAAAGAUCGAAAAGUGCCCUAAGCUUGCAAGUAUUCCAGUGAUCCCCAAUAUCAGCGAGUUGACAAUAGUUAGAGUUCACAGUACUACAGUCAGUUUAGUUUUUAUGAGCAUCCAAUUGGGCUCUUGGCCAUUUCUCGCCAAGUUAACUCUUCGGUCUCCAGGAGACAUACCCAUGUUGUCUCUAGACGCCCAGCAAAGCCAAAGUCAAAUACCUCUUGAAAAACUGAAGCACUGA